rnacentral:rRNA from 1 species
GACGAACAACACAAACGUUAUUCGGAAUUACUGGGCUUAAAGGGUGCGUAGGCGGCGCGGAAAGUUGGGUGUGAAAUCCCUCGGCUCAACCGAGGAACUGCGCCCAAAACUACCGUGCUCGAGGAAGAUAGAGGUGAGCGGAACUUACGGUGGAGCGGUGAAAUGCGUUGAUAUCGUAAGGAACACCUGUGGCGAAAGCGGCUCACUGGGUCUUUUCUGACGCUGAUGCACGAAAGCUAGGGGAGCAAACGGG